rnacentral:rRNA from 1 species
CGGGUGAGUAAUGUCUGGGAAACUGCCUGAUGGAGGGGGAUAACUACUGGAAACGGUAGCUAAUACCGCAUAACGUCGCAAGACCAAAGAGGGGGACCUUAGGGCCUCUUGCCAUCGGAUGUGCCCAGAUGGGAUUAGCUAGUAGGUGGGGUAAAGGCUCACCUAGGCGACGAUCCCUAGCUGGUCUGAGAGGAUGACCAGCCACACUGGAACUGAGACACGGUCCAG